rnacentral:lncRNA from 1 species
GAUGUUUGUCGCCCGCGGGCCCCCGCGCUGCUUCUGCGACCAAGCGUGCGGCGCGGCGCGGCGCGGGACUGCUGCGCAGACUAUACGCGGGUCUGCCCAGGUGCACCCGGGGAAAGCCACUCCCAUCCAGCCAUUCCUGGGUCAUCACUUCCUGUAAAGAUGUCAGUUUCCCUGAGGAAGAUCGGGAAGAUCAUCCUGACUUGCUAAUAUGUGCCAAGUGCCUCACCACAUGACCUGACUCUGUGAGAAAGGAAGAAACUUGGAAGCUGGCCAAGUCUUGCUGUAUUGCCCAAGGCUGGAGGACAGUGAUGCAAUCAUGGCUCCCUGCAGCCUUGAUCUUCUGAGCUCAGUCCCUGCUUUGAUAACCACAGGCAGCUACGGGAAAGAGUGGGAAAAGUGAGAUAGUCCCAAGAAACAGGCAACAGCAGGAUAGCAUCAGCUCUAAAAAUAUCUGAAUUGGAAAUCACAACUAUUUACUUUUAUCAAAAAGCAUUUGUUUUUUUCCCUGAAUUUUCACAUUUGUGCUGAUGGUGGACAUUAAUGGUGAUGAAAACAAAGAAGAGACAUGUGAGAUGGUCGGCG